rnacentral:tRNA from 1 species
GGUGAGAUGUCCGAGUGGCUUAAGGAGCAUGCCUGGAAAGCAUGUAUACGCACAAAGCGUAUCAAGGGUUCGAAUCCCUUUCUCACCACCA